CCUACGGGAGGCAGCAGUGGGGAAUAUUGCACAAUGGGCGAAAGCCUGAUGCAGCGACGCCGCGUGAGGGAUGACGGCCUUCGGGUUGUAAACCUCUUUCAGCACGGAAGAAGCGAAAGUGACGGUACGUGCAGAAGAAGCGCCGGCUAACUACGUGCCAGCAGCCGCGGUACAUUGCUCCUACGGGAGGCAGCAGUCAGGAAUAUUGCGCAAUGGAGGAAACUCUGACGCAGCGACG
rnacentral:rRNA from 1 species